AAUUGUUUGACUUCCUUGCCUAUUACUUUGGUCAGAAAAUCAUAGAAUGUUUAAUAGAACAUGGUGAUAGUGAUUUAGUACAUGAACGUUUUAUUUGGCAGAAAUCACCAGAUGACGAGAACAGUAACCAUAGAUUUCAUAAUUGAAAUACCAGAUGAUCAUUUAGAAAUUAUAUUUACAAAGGUUUAUCAAGGACUGGUUAGCAGGAAAGGUGGCAGUUGUGUUCAGUAACAAUAAUAUGAAAGUAUCAUCAUUCAGACAACGGUUAAUACAGUACUUGCAACAACUUGAUCAAUUACAUCAGGUUAAAUUAACCAACACCAAGGAUACAUUGUUACCAAAGGAGAACUGUGAUUCAGGUUCUACUCCACUGAUAAUACUACUGUUAUGAUGGUUAUACUGAUAUGGUAGAGUGGUUGUUAUGUAAUGAUGUGAAUGUGGAUCAGUGUAGAGAUGAUGGUAAGUGGACUGAACAUGGCAAGUCAGGAAGGGCAUACUGAUAUAGUAAAGUUACUGUUAGAGAGGAAUCCUGAUGUUAAUUUAUUUGAGCAAGAAUGGUAGGAGUCCUCUGUUACAGGCUAGUCAGAACGGACAUACUGAUAUAGUGAAGUUACUUUUAGAGAGGAAUCCUGAUCUUAAUCUAUGUGACAAGGAUGGCCGGAGUCCUGUGUUACAGGCUAGUCAAAACGGACAUACUGAUAUAGUAAAGUUACUGUUAGAGAAGAAUCCUGAUGUUAAUCUAUGUAACAAGAUAUGGCUUGAGUCCUCUGAUACUAAGCAAGUAUAGGGACAUACUGACAUAGUUAGAUUACUGUUAGAGAGGAAUCCUGUUCCAUGUGACAAUACAUCACUUAGUACGUCAUAUGGCAAUAAUAACAUCAGUAUCAGUAACAGUCCGAGUCCUGUCCAACCAUUAAUGAAACAUAAACCAGACGUUAAUGCCCAGACAUAUGAUGGAGGUAAUGCUUUAUAUUUUAGUGCACUAAAUGGAAACAUUGAGAUAACACAGUUACUAUUAGAGAAUAAUGCUAACUGUAAUAUAUGUAUCCAUAAUAAACAGUCUAUGACAGAUGUAUUUAAUAACCACCCAUCUUUCACAUUAAACAAAGCAAAACAAAACUUAUUUGAUGGCCUUGUAGAGAAUACAUCAUCACGUGUAACAGAAUACGUCAGUAAGAAGGCAGUGGGUUAUGCCUUUGAUGUAGUAGCUGGUUCCUCUCUCAUUACACAUAGCCUGUUUUAUGGGUAGGACAGAUAUAGUCCGUUGCCUAAUAGACUGUAAAUCUAACAUAAACAUGAAAAAAGAAGAUGGAACAACCCCAUUAUUUUAUGCAUGUGAAGUAGGACAUAAGGAUAUUGUACGUACAUUGUUAGAUAAAGGAGCAGGACACACAAAUAUGUAGAAUAGAUGAUAAAACCCCUUUAGGCAUUGCAACAGAAAAUAAACAUACAUGUAUAGUUGUGAUUGUUACAGAACACAUGAAGAAGUAAAAAGCACGUCUUUAACAAAUAUUGCCUCUUUGUAAGUGAUUUCUGACAACAUGAACAUAACGGCACAUAGAUUUUGAAACCACAGCCUUCUUUAUUGUGUUUUUGUUGAUAUUAGUUUACUCCAGUACUUAGGUCUCUAUUUGUUGCACACUUCUAUUCAUCCCGUUACUUUUAUCUCUGUUAAAU
rnacentral:lncRNA from 1 species